rnacentral:lncRNA from 1 species
AACUAUGAUCAUCUUGUGAAAUAAAAUAGCAAACCAUGCUCUUGUUUGCUGUCAAAAGAAUUUGAAAACUAGGACGAAUUAAGUGGUUGGCCUCCGCAAGCAUUCCACUCAUUAUUGUAUCACAUUUUGUUCUCCACCAAUCCUUUAACCCUCCAACAAGUGCAGACAUGACUCAGCAUUAAGUGAUGUCUAUCUUUCAAAACUCUACUUAAUCAACAUAAACAUAUAACCUGAUCACAUGAUUAGCGCCA